CGUUCUUUGAUAUAAUGGAACAUCUUCCCAUUCACCUUGUACACGAAGCUCGGCUAGGCAGUCCAAUUUAAACUAGGUGGAUGUAUCUAUUCGAACGGUAAGAAUUUGCAACUUAUUUAAAUUCAUACAUAUCUUUUUUAUAUAUAGUACACAUCUAACCUUAAGAUUAUAGGGCAAUUGAAAAAUUGAAAAGGGGUCCCAAAAACAAAUAUAGGGUUGAAGGCUCUAUAGUUGAGGCAUAUUUUGCAAGAGAAACUUCUUUAUUUUGUUCGUAUUACUGUCGUGAUGAAGUUGCUUGUUCAAGAAACCGACUGAAUCGUCAUCAGGACGAUGUGAAUGAGCCUCAUUUGUAAAUGAUAUCAAUUUUCAAUCAAUCUGGUUGCAAGACUAAAAAGAUUAUACCUCGUCGGCUCACUCCCAUGGAGAACAAAUCAGCAACAUUGUAUGUCAUGCUGAAUUGCUCGAAAAUUGAGCCCUUUCUUAAGUAAGGAGAUUAAAAUUUUAACAUAUCUUAUUUGUUUACUCAUUCCCUUAAAUAAACUAAUUGUGUUUCCCAUGUUGCAUGUUCAGUUAAUUUAAGACUCAAUUCCACGAAAAUCAAGUGUAUGAAUCCUUUGCAACAUGGUUUAAAAAUGAGGUUCGUAAGUGUAAUAUUUCUACAAAGUUUAAAUAUUUACACAUUCCUCAACUAAAAUAUAUAUAUGUAUAAUAUUUUUAAGUACACCAUUUACCAAAUGCAGCUAUAUACGAUCAGCUCUUGAGAGAUAUUUCUUUGGGUCUAGUUGAAGUUAAUGCAAUGUCCCAAUACAAAGUAAAUUGGUUUAAAUUUUCCACCGAACAACACUCCAGCUCAAGGAAACCAAACAAUACUGGUGUUUGGGUUAAAGGUGAUGAUGAUGUUAAUUACUUUGGCAUCAUACACGAGAUCUUAGAACUGGAGUACGCUGGUUUCCCAAUAAAAAAAGUUGUCCUCUGUUGAUGUAAGUGGUUUGAUCCAAGAACAAGAGGCAUAAGAGUACAUAGUGAGCAUAACAUCAUUGAAGUGAAGCACAAUAGCUCGUAUCCUAUUUAUGAUCCAUUUGUUUUAGCGCAAAAUGCUAAACAAGUGUAUUAUGCUCCUUAUCCAUUGUGCAAUGACAAGUUUGGUUAGUGGGCUGUAAUCAAAACAAAGCCUAUAGCCCGGGUGAAAGUUAAGAAUGUGCUGGAGACUGCGUAUCAAAAUGAAAUUCAGAUUAAUCACCAGCUAGUAGACGUUGAAUUAGUGAAUGGUUUAAAUCACCCGAAAAAUAUAUUUGAAGAAGUUAAUAUUGCGGAAGAAGAGGUUGAGUGGGUAGGAGAUGAGAAAACCUCCGAAGAGGGUGAAUGGUUUAGUGGAGAGUCUUCAGAAGAUAAGAUUAGUUGUGUAGGUUGUAUUUAUUAUGUGUUGAUGUCGAUAUGCUUUGUAUUAUAUAUUUACCUUUACGCUUCUUAUUUAAGAUUGAUAUGUAAUACACUGUUUUACUUUGCUAUUUCCACUUUUUCACGAUUUAUAUAGUAAUAACAAUAUUUUUGUCUAUAUAUCAUGUUAUUGGAGUGAUUUGAAAUGUGAAUUAGUAACUUGAAAUUAUAUGCUUGGAAUCUUUUCGUAUACAUUCAUUUUGUAGGAACUAACUAAUUAACUUAACAUAAUUUAGAUGUCAGAAAGAGAUGAUAGAGGUAAGGGAAAAGUUGAUACUAUAAAAUCAAAAAAGAAUAGACAACCUCUGCCUUACAGACGGCCACAAGGUAUUCAUAUAUCUGAGGGUUGGUUUGCUAAUGCGCUAGUACGACCCUCACAUUCUAGGUUUUCAGAGGAUUCGAUACCUAAUCCUAUGCAUGGGGGAGCACUACAUAGGUCUGCACCGACUCAUUCUGCUCUUAUGACCGUGCCACCACCAGCACAUUACUAUCGUACAGCCGCUAGCCCCUCCAGACAUGUACCAUCAUCGAUACCCUCCUACAGUAGUCACACAGCUUCGAACAGUGAUUCUGCGGGAUCUAUUGGGUUGUCGGAUCUUCGGCUUAGAGGCACUCCAUCUGGUGCUUCAGAUUUGCCCACGCCAGUGCAUCCACCAUCACUUAUUAUGCAGCCAAGAGACAAAGAUAAUUCUGGGAGGAUUUAUCUUGUUCCAGUUAGGAAAGGGUAAGAUUUCUAAAUAUAAUAACAUUACUCAAUUUUUCAUUACUAUAUUAUUAUGCUCUAUGAAAUUAAUGUUUGAUGUUUUGUUGUAGGUUCAGGCCGGAUGGUGGAGCUGGAAAAAAGGUGCGAACAAGCAUUACUCGCCACUUCAACGGCUACUGGACCAGCUGGCAAAAGGUUCCAGAACUUGACAGGGAUAGAAUGUUUGAGGAAUUUAAGGUAAGAAUUUAACUUAUCGACUACUUAUUUACAUUUUGUUAUAACAAAAGAUUGAAUAUUACAUUUUUGUUGUAGAAAUUAUACUGGUGGGAUGAUGCAAAUACAUUUCGUAUAAAGAAGAACGUUUUCAUAAGAUAUAGAGCCAGAUUUAACAAUCUCUUGAAAUAUGCCCGAAAGAAAUUAGUAAGACCUAAGUGGAUUCCUGAAUCCGCCUGGCAACUGUAUCUUCUCUAUUCGAAUAGCAAAGAAUACAAAUUGUUGAGUGAAAAAGGAAAGAAAUCCCAAACAUCAUCUAAGGGUGGCUCCCUACAUACUGUGGGUGCCAGAAGUACUCUUGCUGUGAUGGCAAUAAGGGUAUGUAUCUUUUACAGUUUUAAUUGUUUGUUUCUAUAUAUUUAAAUUUUUUAUUAUUUGAACAUUGAUAAUUUUUUCAUAUGCAGGAAAAAGAAAAGGGUAGGGAAAUACCACAUUAUGAGUUAUACAAGGAGACUCAUGUGAUAAAAAAAAGAACCCGACUGAUGAAGAUGUCUGGGUUGAAGCUCGUGCAAAAGUUGUCCAUGUAAGUAACAAAUUCUGAAUUUAUGAAUUUUUUAUCUUAAAGUUGAUAUUAUUCAAUUAUAAUCAUUUUAAUAUUUUUUCGACUCUUAGUAUUCACUUUCUUUGAAUAUAGGACGAAUAUAUGCAUCUUCUCGAUGCGUAUCGUAGUAGUUUGCCUCUUGAAAGUUAGGGUAACCCAAUACCCCAACAUGUAGAGGAGGAGGAGUGGGAAAAAUUUGUGGAUCCUACAAAUAGAGACAUCCUGCAAAUAGAGACAUUUGGUUGGAUACCACAAAAAUAUUUUUGGCGAUAAUGUUAGGUGUUCGUCCGACCCUUCUUACUCUAGCUCUUUAGUUGAUAGAGAAACUAUUGAAAGCCUACAAAAUAUGGUUUCUCAACUCACUCAAGAGCUUGCCGAACAGAGAGAGAGGAAGAAGAAGAUGGAGAAGGCAACGACAUCACAAUUCAAGAAGCUGCAGCAGCAGAUGAGCUAUUUCAUUCAGAUUACGGGGAAUAUUCCUCCGUGUCCUGGUGAUGCAGUUCAGGCUGCAAAGGGUCUGGGCCCACUGGAUGAUUUCAGCAUGGAUGAUGAUAUGGAAGACGAUGACGAAUUAGAUGAUACUGACUCUUAGGUUUUUGAUUUUUGUAUGUGUUGUACUUUGAAACUAUUGUUGUAGUAUUUUCGUAUUUUGUUGGACAUUUUGUAUGUCCUAUACACUUUUGAAAGCAUUUUUGUAUUGUUGUUGUUGGAUCUGCUGUAUUUGGGUUGAAAGCAUUUUUGUAUUGUUGUUGUUGCAUAUGCUGUAUUUGGGUUUAGAAUUUUAUUUUUUAAAAAAAUACCCAGAAAAACCGACCACAAAUGAUCAAUUUUGAAAAUAUUUUUUUGCAGAAAACCUACCACUUGUUAUAGGUUUUUUAAUAAAUUAAUUAAUUAAUUUAAUAAAAAACCUUUCACUUGUGGUCGGUUGUUUAAUAAAUUAAUUAAUUUAAUAAAAAACCUUCCACUUGUGGUCGGUUGUUUAUUAAAUUAAUUAAUUAUUUUAAUUAAAAACCUUCCACAUGUGGUAGAUUUUUUUUCUCUAAAAUUAUUUUUUCUAACUUUAAUAAAAUACUAAUGAAUUUUAAAUAUAUAUACAUAUUUUUAAAAAAACUGACCACUUGUGAUCGGUUUUGGAAAAACUACCACAACUUUUUCGACCACAGAUUUUGAUCACUUUUGUGGUCGGUUUUUUAUAAAAACCUUCCAUAAGUGAAAGAUUUUUGUGGUCGGUUUUAGCCUUUUUUUUAGUAUUGAGAGAGAGUCUAUUCUCACGUGCAUUUGUUUUUUCCCACUUAUUUUCAUUAGUUUCAUUUAGCCACACGACCUAGUACAUAUUGUUGAUCCAGAAUCAAUUAUAAUACAAGACAUUACAACUGUAAUGACAAGCAUAUGUAACAGAGGCGGAGUCAGGAUUUCAAAUAAGGGGUUCAAUAUUCAAAGAAAACUAAGUCGAAGGGGGGUUCAAUACCUACAAUAACCAUAUAAAAAAUAAUUUUAAUCAUGUAUAAAUAGUUUAUUUUUUCGUCGAAGGGCCCCUAAAGAGGGCUGGCUCCGCCUCUGAUAUGUAAUACAAAUGCCCUUUAAUUUGAAAUAUUACUAAUGUUAAUAUAUCGUGAAGUUUAUAUCUUGCGGUGUGAAAUUUUAUAUUUUUUCAAGAAUAAACUUCAAUGUAAUUUCAAAUAUAUAUAUUUUUUUUACCUUUGUCUCAUCUGAUAUCAGAAAAAUGAUUAUUGCAAUUUUAACAGAAGUUUCUCUGAUUCAUGAAUUCAGACUCAUAAAAAUCUGACUUUAUUUUUAUUGCUUCUUUAGAAAUUUAGUUUUGUGUCAAUGCAAAAUAAAUUUAGAUUUUUAUGAACAUGAAUCCAUGAACCAGAGAAGUUUAUGCUAAAACUGCAAUAAAUCAUUUUUCUGAAUAUUUUGGGGAGUCCUUUCAAAGUUAAAGAUUUAAAGAUAAUUUGUACUAAACUAAUAUGCAUAAAAUUGUAUUGACGUUUAAACCUAUCAAUGUCUUUUCUAUUUAAUAAGGUUAUAGUUUACUCAUCAGCAUUCGAAGCGAUGGAUUGUUCAGUGAUUUUUACUAUUUAUUUAUGCAAAAUUUUAUCAAAGAAACCAUAUUCAUAAAUAGUGUUUAUUUUGAUAUUUUGGAAUAGUCUAUUUAUUUAGUGAAUCCAUAUCUUGAGGUAGAUCUACUUCCUCAAGUUUAGUUCUUUUGGUACUGAUUUCUCCCAUAUCCAUUUUUAUAAAAUCCUUAUCCCUAUGCUGAAAAUUUCACAUCUCUUACUCAAUGACUAUGAAAAUUUCUAGGCUCUGAUACCAUUAAUAACAAGUAGAAAUAGUAAAAAUUAAAUGAUAAUACUUCUGUGUGAUAUUCGAUAAAUUAUACUGCUAAUUUAGCAGUAAAUAUUGCAGAAAGAAAUUAAAAGAAUGAAUCAAUAACAGAGUAUCUUAAACAAAACUUUUAAUAUAACUAAACUGUGGAGAUUCAAGGAAAAUAUCAUCCAUUUCAAGUAAAAAAUUAAACUUCAGCAUCUAAAAAAUAAGCUUUAAUCCAUAGUUUUUGAUCAACGAUAAAGCACCUAAAUUUAGACUUUUAAAUACUGAAAAAAUAUGAAGAUUCACAAAAAGAAUUAUAAAAUCCAGCUUAUCAAAAGUACAAGAAAAUGAUAAAAUUGUGACGGAAUAUUUGAGACGGAACAUUUCUGUCACAAAUUGUGAGAAAUUUGUAACUGAUUUUCAAUAUCAUUUUUGUGACAGAUAUAUUUUUGUCAUAAGUUAAAGUUGAUGAGAAAAAUAAUAACUUUCUGUUACAAAUCUGUGACUAAAUUUGUGACAGAUUGGGUAGUCCAUCACAAUAAAAUUAAAAUAAAAGAAAAUCACUAUAAUAAAAAAUUAUGACAGAUUUAUUCCGUAACAAUAAAAAUUAAAAAAAUUAACUAAUUUUAAAAAUAUUUUUGACGGAUUUCAUUUCGUAACAAAAGCAGAAUUUGCAUAUUUUUCAUUUUUCCUCAAUUUUUUUUUUACAUCUUUUCAUUUUCCCUCAAUUUUUUUUACAUUUUUUCAUUUUCUCUCAAAACCUAGAGAAUACCUUCACUUCACUCUCAUUAUGUGUAACAUUUUGCACCAUUAGUCAAGGUUGAUGUUCACGAUUUGGUCGGAUUUUACUGCUUGCGUAACAUUUUGUAUCAUUAGACAAGGUGGGUGUUCAAGAUUUGGUUGGAUUUUGAUGGAAACUUGUUAAAGGUCGGAUUUUGUUGUGUCUUCAUCUAACAUGUGAGUAUUGUACUUGAUUUUUAUUUUGUUUCAAUGUGAAUUUUGGGGGUGGUGAUUGGUGGUGCGAUUGUGAGUUUUUGGUUUGUGGUGCUUGGGGCUUUUGUAAUAUUGAUCAGUUCACUUUAGUAUCUUGUUCAGGUUUGCUCGUACCUAUCAUGAAUGGUUGUUUGUUUCAGCUGAGUGUAAGGUUGCACACUUUGAUCCUUGUAGGAAAGAGCACAAACGAACAUGUAAUAUAGGAAAAAUGAGUAUAUCUUUAGAUAUCCAAUCGAUCUUUUGAAGUUUUAGAAUUAGAGUGAGGCUUUAGUUAUUGCUGCAAUGAUGGAUAAGCUAUGGGUACUCAAACAAAGGGCAACAUUAAGAAUGCUUACUAUUUAGAGGAAAGAGAGCAGAUGACAAAAAGGGAGAGAAUAUUAUAAGUAAGCAAAAUGAUAAAUUCCAGAAUGAAUCUUUAUUUGCCUUGUAAUGGAUUCUUUUCCAUUUUCUUACGAAAGUAAUGGACCAAAUAAUUAUGAGACCGUUCAAGAACCAUAGCUUUACUGUUAGUAAUUUUAAACACAUUAUAAAAGCAUCCGCAUAUUUGGAGAAGGGUUAAAAAUAUACUGAUAUUUCUCUGUUGGCUGAUCUUAGUCGGAACAAUAAAAAAAAAUCUUAAAAUGCUUAUUCUGGAUGGGUUCUGCACAUCUAUGAGUUAAGGAUUAUAUUAUUUUAGGAUCUCUUCAAGUGUGUGGGGAUGGUAAAGAGCAUCUUUCGCCAAAAUUAUAUUCUAGAACUGUUCUUUUAUGACAGUUCAGCGAGCAAAUGCAAAGGUUGAUCUGAGUUGAUUUUCAUAGUACUAUGGGUUGCGAGCUUUGGUAUCUAAUUGUUACCCUUUAACUUGGUUUAGUGAGCAAAUACAAAGGUUGAUCCAAGUUGAUUUUCACAGUACAGAUCUUAGAUACUACUGCAUUAUCAAAAAGAAAAAGGAAAUUACAAAUCUUAGAUAUUAUUUGGGGAAAGGUUUGCAUACACACUAUCAUUCCUAGACAUCACUUGUGGAAUGUCACUAUAUUUGUUGUUUAAGGGGGGUAUACUAUCAUUCCUAGAAACCACUUGGUAGGAUAUACAUUGCUGACUUUAAAUAAAUUAUCGUUGAACCAAGGGUCUAUUAGCUAACUUGUUGAUGACAACAAUAUAAUCAGUAUAGUCCCACAGGUGGAGUCUAUGGAGUGAGGUGUGCACCUUACCCCUACCUUCGUGGGGUAGAGAAAACGUCUCCAUAAAUUUAGUUGAAUCACCCAACUAUCUGUCCUUUCAUAUAUCAGCCUUACUUAUGACUUUUCUUAGCUAUCUAAGAUUUCUUUAAUCUGGCUUUAAGGUGAAUCUCCUUUAUUGUGAGAUACUGCCUUAUAUAAACACUGCUCAAUUCAUACAAAGUGAAAAUUUACACUAGAAAUAGCUUUCAUCGGCCACUUUCAGACCUUUAUCUUUAGAAUUUAGAAUAGGUUCAAUCUUGUUAUUUGCUUUUCGAAGUGCCAAGAAACAUAUAUAGAAUAUCUUUAACAACCAUCUCAUGUUUAUAUUCUAGAUAAUAUUUGACAAAGCUGGAAGACAUAUUGGGCUUCUGAUGAGUAUAAGAACAAAUUUCAUAGUGCAACUCAAAAUUGAUGUAGUGAAACUAGUGGUCCGAACACUGGUCCAAGCAAGCAUACCGGUGGUUCCAAGUCAACAGUGGAUUAUACUAUAAAAUUGAUAAAUUUCGUACUUUAAUAGAUUAAUUUUUUGACUUUAUUUCUGAUUUUAAGGUUGAACUUUUUUUCAGGCAACCGAAAUGGGUCGUGAACCAAAUUCAUGAGAGAUAUUUAAGAAGUUGAAUCAAAAGAAGGAUGACAGUUUUUUGAUGCCAAGUGGAAGAGCAUUAAUGUAAGUUUGCUAAUAAGCUUCUCUUUCUUUAGAUCUUGAAAGCAUGAGAUCAAUAUAGCUCUUGCAAGUAGAGUGACAUUGUUGUUUGUAGCUUGAAGUAGUGAAGUCAUGUGGGGCCAAUUUUGAUUCACUACACUUGUUGAAAUCUUGUACUCUUAAAAAUCUAGUUUUUAUUGAAAUCUUGAAUUCUAGUGAAGUCGUGUGUGGCUUAUUUCAAUUCACUAGCAUUGUUGUUGACAUCUUGUUGUUCUUGUUAUGGUUUUCUUCUUAUUUUUUUUCAUUGAAAUCUUAAAGAUUUAGAGAGGAAUAUUUCUGAGAGUGAUUUAAGAAAGCCAUUGCUUUUAAAGCAUUUGGAACCUAACUGAGCAUUUGAAUAAUCCAUUAGAUUAAGGGGAUAGCCUAGGCUCCAAAAUAAUUUGUAACUACAUCAUCUUUUUAGGGUACCGUGUUGAGGAUUCUGAGUUAUUUCGUGGAUACUUCAUAGUUAGUGGUGGUGCUUGGUACAUCGAGUGAUCCUCAGGCUAGUGUUGGGAUUUGUUGUUGUGCUACAAAUCUCUUUAAUAGUUUUAGAGUAUAAGUUUCUCAAGUCGACCAGAGAUACUCUUUUGUUAUUUCCUACAUGGCAUGAGCCGGUGUAGGUAUUUUUAAAGGAUUGAUUGUACUACGUCUUUUGCAAUCAGAGAACUUAGUAGCAACUAGAUCUUUAUUUCUCUAGCUUGUUAAUCAUGUAAGGACUAAAGAGAGGGAAUGUACUAAAACAUAUGGAGGUGACAGUAAGUGUCCAUGUAAGUAGUUUACUGUUAGUGGUAUUCCAUCUAGGAGUAGACUUUUGCUUUAGAAAAGUAAAACAUCCAGUAGUAGAUUACUUUAUGAAAGCGGUUUUACCAAAGUUGUCAUUUAUUCUUCUUCUUCGGAUCUUCAGUGAUGGAUAAACGUGUUUUUGGGGAGAGUGCAAAUAGCAUAGGGUAUGAUUCCCACGGGACGAUAUACUUGGAGCAGUAAUCUACUACUGAAUGUUGCUUUAGGUGGCCAUUCAAAUUUUUUGACUACUUUACUUGGUACAUGGCCAACAGUACAGUAGACAGAUCUUAAAGUGCUAGAAUAUUACUGUUAAGAAGAAAACUUGGCACUUGGACCAACUAAUUUUCAUUGCAAAUGAGAUGAGUGAAUAAUGUAUUCGAGCACGCCCCUAAAUAGAACAAAAGCUUUCUCUAAUCCAGAUACAUAAAUAGGUUAAAUUCAGAUAGUUCAGAUCAUAUAUCUACAAGGAAUAGGGUGUGGAUUUAGAACACAGAAAAGCCAUUACGCGUGCGUCAGUCUUGGGGAUCAUUCAUCCUUCCCAAAAUCCCAACAAGUAGAGGUAGUUGGUGAAUUUACAUAAUUAAGUUAUUUCAUUUCACAUUCCACUUGAAAUUCAUCAUAUGUAAGAAAUUUCCUCAUCAGAUUUCCUGGGGAAAAGGGAGAUUUAAUAAAGCAAAAGACACAAAUGGCCACAAGAGAAAGACCCUUACUCUUGAGAUACAUGGUAUAGUUAUUAAGAUGCUGAUUUAGAGAAGUAAAACAUCCACUUUAUAAUAGCUCCAGCCCUUUUAACUAGGAAAAAUAAAUAGUUUUAGCAUUUUUAUUUUUAUACUGUUUUUGUUGGCUGAUUAUUUGUAUUUUUUAGGAUAAAAUGGAGGCUGUCAUAGCUACUGCUCUUUAUGGAUCAACAGAUGAUUCAUCAGAAGAUCAAGAACUCAAUAUAAAUUGCAUGUACUUUGAUAUUGUGAGUGGAGCAAAAAAAUGAUGUGUAUAUGAAUUGGACUCUCAAGCUUCAACCUUGUAUAAAGAUAUGACAUGCAAUUUGCCUGUAGUGUCCGAUCAUGUUGCCAAAGAGCGCAUCAAAAUACUUGAGAAAGAGGUGUCGUAUAUGAGAGAAAAUCAAUAGAAAAUUCUUCAAGAGCGUGUAGAGUUGGAGGUGCAACAACGAGUAGAGCAAGAGGUUUUCUGUUUGAGGCAGCAAAGUGAUGAUCGAUUCAAAUAUAUGGAGGAGCAAUGGUCUCGCAUGAUGAGCGAUAUGUCAUUAUCUUCUCACUCAUUUAGUAAUCCUACUCUCCCUAAUAGGGGCUCAUCUAAUGCUUAAGUGUUUAAUAUUUUGAGACUUUAGUUACUUGAAGUGUCGACUUGAACAUUGUCGCACUUUUUUUGGAUAGUUAUAUGCUUUAACUUUUAAACAUUGGUAGACUUUUGCUUAUUGACGUUGUGAUUUUGCAUGUUUUAAUUAGCUUCAGACGUUUUUUUAUUAUAAAUCUUCUAUUAUGUUUUUUUUAUAUAUAUAGUGUGAGAAAGAGCAUAAUAUUUCGUAAUUAUUAUUUAUUAAAGUUAAAAAUUUAAAUAAAAUUUGUGACAGAUUUAAUUUGUCACAGUCUAUCCUAAAUUUGUUACUAAUAUAGGUAAGAGAGUCAUAUUGUGACUAAAUUAGUCUGUCACAAAUUAUUUGUAACGAAAUAUAUUGUCACAAUUGUGGUGACUAGGUUUGAAACUUUGUUACGGAAAUUAUUCUGUCGCUAUUUUAUAACGGAAUAUUUUGUCAAAAAUCUGUUAUAAAUUUGUGACGAAAUUUAAGUCAAAUUUAAGGAUUUAUAUUGUGACGAACGAUCUGUCUCAGUUUCAUCACAAUAAUUUUGUGACGAAUUUAAUUUUCGUCACAAUGAUUUUAUGACCAAAGGUUUUGAGAUGCACAUUUUUCCAUCACAAAUUCAUCACAAUCAAUUAUUUAUGACAGAUUUGUGACUAAAAUCUCUGUCACAAUUUAGAUAAUUUCUUGUAGUUUAGUUUAAAUUCAUAUCCCACACUAACCCUCGUCAAAUUUGAGAUACAACUUUAAGACACCAAGAGAUUAAGCCAUAGACAUAAAAUAGAACAAAAAUUUAUGUAUUCUUUAAGAUUUUUUUAAAAAUUCUUCAUAUGGAUCGAAUUUCUCAUUUUCAAAAAUCCAUUUAUGGAGUUUUUGAUUUUAAACCCUUCAAACAGAAAUUUAUGAAAAAAUUUAGAGAUGAAAUUUAAAGGAAAUCUUAAAAUCAUGGAAUAUAAGUAUACCUUUAUAUAGAAAGGCAGAGAUGAAGCUUUUGGCGAAGCAGACAGAGUCGCAGAUAAAGACUUCACUAAAAGAACCCUACAUCACCGGAGAUGAAGACCAUCAGAGCCUUUUGCUAAAUUUUUUGCUUAAAUCACCCUCAAAAUCUGCUUUCUAGAAAAUUUCGCCUUCACCUUUGGGAAUUCAAUUUUGGAUAUGUAUAAAAUGUGCCCGCUCCUAGGCAGCUUAAAGAGAAA
rnacentral:lncRNA from 1 species